ACGUUUAUAAUUUACGAGUUGUGCGGAAUGACCAAGUUUGCCACGUGACUGCGAACCCACGCAGUCGUCUUAGCUAUGCAACCGAAUAGACAGGAUCACUGUAAUAUACGGCUUCGGAUAUAAGUUUAUUAAAGGAUUAUAACACGACCGAAUAACUGUAAUAUUCAUUCUAGUGUGAUCGAGACAAAAGACUUAAAAUAUGACGUUCGAGUGACGUCAAUAAUGGUACAGAUCCAUUUUUGUUCGAUGCUUUGCGCUUGAUGCUGUAUAAAUGUAAGAUGGCCGUGAGCGAAGCCGUCUGCUUGUGCCUUUUUCGCAUUGUGCUACCAAUAGCUCUUCUAACAGGUGAGUAUUUAUUUAUACAAAAUUAAUAGUAAUAUAUUGAAAAUUUGUCUGUACAUCGUUUAAUAUAAAUGCCAAUAGAUGUAUAGUACUUACUUUAACCUCACUAUAUUAAUGCUGAAUAGCAAUGCAAAUGUCAGUGGUUAGUAAAACAAUAAGUUAAGAAUCUUGAUAAUGAAUUUAAGAUUUUUAAGAACUUUACGAAAUUGCAAGUUCUGUUAACAUUGCUGUAAACUGAAAUAAGCAUUUGAAAAUAUUUCCUUUCGAACAAUAGUGGCAGAAGGCCAAGUAUUCACAGACUAUUGUCCAAAAAGAAUAAAGAAGAAAAAUUUACGGUUUUUAUCGAUUAAUUUUUGCAUCCGAAUUUGCUUUCUAACUUCAAACUAAUAACUUAGCUAUUAGUAAAAUCGCUUAUUUAUUUUGAUUUGUAACUCUUCAAUGUAUAUAUAUGAACGAGAUAAUGCUCUUUUCUUUGUAGAGGCAUUUUAUUCUCUUCCUGUACAAAUAGUCACGUUCCGGUUCUCUAAUGGAGUCAUUAAUGAUAGAAAGUAUCUUCCUUUGCUACUCUUGAUAUCCUGUGUCACGUGAUUUGAUAUUCCAUUGAUUUUUAAUUUAAACAUUAAAUCAUUUUUAUAUGAAAUGUAAAUCUUACAUCACGAGUAAUCAAAAGAGGAACAAAUUUUAAAAAAUGACGAUGCGUAUCACGUGUCAGUAUUUGCAUAUUUUCACGUGUCAAACAAAGAAUUUAAAUUUGGUUAAUUUAUAGGUGUUAAGAAAUAAGACUAACAGAAUGAAAUGAGUGUAUCUUUGCUGCCUUGCACGGCAAGAGAGUAGUGAAUGGAAGCCUAUUGUCACUGUCACGCGCUUGUUUCGUGGUGUAAUAGUUUUAAAAAACAUGGACAGAUGCAUCUCAUAAAAAUGAGAAUUGAAAUCAGAACAGUGUGUUUGUUAUUUGUUAUUUCUUUAUUGAUAACCCACUUUUAAUUGUAUGUCAAAUUUUAAGUGCAGUUAACAAUAAAAAGAUGGUAAUCAGGCAAAAUACAACACUUGAACAUAUGGAUCGUGCUAAUUAAACAUUUGCUACAUCCUGUUAAGCCCUGUUAAGCCAAGUUAAGCCCUGCAUAUUAUUCAGACAGGAGCGUUUUCACGGUAGUGUUUAGAACAGUGAAAUAAUAUCACUCAUGCUGUUAUUUCACACUGUUACUUACUGGUACUUGUUACUCUAGCAAAUGUUUAGCAGUAAUAUCAUACUUCUCUAUAUGAUAUUCUUGCAUAGCAUGGCAGCAACCACUACCAAAAGUUUAGGAACCUGUAUCUCAUACGGGCUGUGGCCACCCCAGUUUAUAUAGGAACAAAAUUGUUGUGUUUACUACAUCUAUCACCCAUUUCAUU